GCGAGCGUAGUCUAGUGGUUAUGAUGUCUGCUUUACAUAGCUAAAUGUGGAGCGCAGAAGGUCGGGAGUUCGAUCCUCCCCGCUCGUA